UACAGAGGGGGCAAGCGUUGUUCGGAAUUACUGGGCGUAAAGGGCGCGUAGGCGGCCUUCUAAGUCGAACGUGAAAUCCCCGGGCUCAACCCGGGAACUGCGUCCGAUACUGGAAGGCUUGAAUCCGGGAGAGGGAUGCGGAAUUCCAGGUGUAGCGGUGAAAUGCGUAGAUAUCUGGAGGAACACCGGUGGCGAAGGCGGCAUCCUGGGACCGGCAUUGACGCUGAGGCGCGGAAAGCCAGGGGAGCAAAGCGGG
rnacentral:rRNA from 1 species